rnacentral:rRNA from 1 species
GACGAACGCUGGCGGCGUGCUUAACACAUGCAAGUCGAACGCUGAAGCUUGGUGCUUGCGCUGGGUGGAUGAGUGGCGAACGGGUGAGUAAUACGUGAGUAACCUGCCCUUGACUCUGGGAUAAGCCUGGGAAACUGGGUCUAAUACUGGAUACGACAUGUCACCGCAUGGUGGUGUGUGGAGAUGGGUUUACUGGUUUUGGAUGGGCUCACGGCCUAUCAGCUUGUUGGUGGGGUAAUGGCUCACCAAGGCGACGACGGGUAGCCGGCCUGAGAGGGUGACCGGCCACAUUGGGACUGAGACACGGCCCAGACUCCUACGGGAGGCAGCAGUGGGGAAUAUUGCACAAUGGGCGGAAGCCUGAUGCAGCGACGCCGCGUGAGGGAUGACGGCCUUCGGGUUGUAAACCUCUUUCAGCACGGAAGAAGCGAAAGUGACGGUACGUGCAGAAGAAGCGCCGGCUAACUACGUG